AAGCGAAAGGUACCAAAGCAGGAAAUGCAGCCUUGACUCGUACGUCUGCCUCGAGCAGGGGACGCUUUAUUUGAGGUUAAUUUGGGACUUAGUCGUAUUGUUCAAUCAUGGGGUGAUUUCAUCUUUUUGUAAAAUGCUUCACCAUGUAGCCUGCCCAUCAAUAUAGUGGUGAAGAGCGUUUGUUUAGUUGUGAAGACAGUUGCCUCGUGGGUUUGUCUCUGCUCGUCGAUCGAUCAAGGAAGGUUGAGUCAGUGAGUCAGUUCAAGUAGUAAUGUCUGGUUUCAGGAUGUCAAAGGGUGUUUGUAACAAGACUUGUAAAACAAGGUGUGCCU